UGGGCUGCAGGUUUGCUAUAUAAAUAGGUGGUGUAUAAAUUUGUUUUUGUUUAUCUGUUUUUUGUUUGACAGAGCAAAGACAACAGGCAGAAAGAAUUGGAUAUCAACAUUCACCUGCAGUGCACAGGGUGGCUUAUGUGCCAC